AUUCAGCUGACGAAUCCUAAAUAGAACGUAACAAGUGUCCUGGAU
rfam:Schistosoma mattheei strain Denwood, Zambia genome assembly, scaffold: SMTD_scaffold0004502